UCCCGGUCCCCGCGCAGGGCCGGUCCCGGCCGCCUCCGCGACCAGAUCGGCCUUUGCUGACCACCUACUGUGUGCCCUCCCCGCGGCCGAGGCGCCUCCGCCGAGCGGUGCCCACACUUAGGGGGUCCCGGGGGCUCGAGAGACGCCCCGAGGAGCGCGCAAGUUUAAGGGGCUCUCGCUGGGGAGCGGGGAGCUCCGUGGGGUGAAGGCUUUGGUCCAUGCAGCUCUGCUGUUUGGAACCCUGGCGCUGUACCCGAGUCUAUUUCUGCUGCAUGAGACCAUGACCAGGAAUGCACGUGUGUGAGCACUGCAGUGACCCUCCAGCAAGCACCACACACAGAAAGCACGUGAGCACCACAACUAAAGCGUGUGAUGCCCAGAGAGUACGGAACUUCAGAUCCAGGUGUGUGACCCACGGAGAACCCUCGCCCCGUGUGGAUGUGAGCUCCGCCAUCGCAACGACUCUGAAGGAAGGGGAGAUAGAAGGAUCCGGAACUCUACCGUGCCUGCUUCAGCAGAGCUUCAGAUGAGAGACAUGCUGCAGACAUAGGUCAAGGGGCCAUGUGCCAUGUGCCCCCCAGAACCCUGGUGUUGCCCCCAAACCAAACACUAAUAACAAACUACGUAUGAGAAGAACCCUUUGGCUGACUGGAUCUUCAGGAAAGCAAGGACAGCGCGCUGGGAGACGCCAGGGAUCGGACCCCAGCCCUGGGGACCAUCUCUCCGCCUUAAAGCUCAGGCCGGUCCUUCGGACAGCGCGGCGACCCGACGGAAUCCCACGUGCAAAACAGCAACUGCCCCAGCCUGGCCACUGCGGCCACUGCCGCCCCCCGGGACGGAGGGCGGGGGCGCGGGGCGGGAUCCGGGGGACGCGCUGCAAAGUGGGUCGGAGCCGGCGGCGCGGGAGCCCGGCCCGCCCCGUCGGGCGCAGCCCCGGCCCCCCGCGCCCGGCCGGUCCCGCCCAUAAAUCAGCUCCGCCAGCGUUAAUGGCUCCUGACUAAUUGCCUGGACUCGGCUCCGGGCUCGGGUCGCCCGCAUUAAAAUUC